AACGUAGGUUCCGAGCGUUAUCCGGAUUUACUGGGCGUAAAGAGCGCGCAGGCGGUCGUUCAAGUCGAGUGUGAAAGCCCCCGGCUCAACUGGGGAGGGUCAUUCGAUACUGAUCGACUCGAAGGCAGGAGAGGGAAGUGGAAUUCCCGGUGUAGUGGUGAAAUGCGUAGAUAUCGGGAGGAACACCAGUGGCGAAGGCGACUUCCUGGCCUGUUCUUGACGCUGAGGCGCGAAAGCUAGGGGAGCAAACGGG
rnacentral:rRNA from 1 species